GCGCCCGUAGCUCAGUCUGGAUAGAGCGAUUCCCUCCUAAGGAAUAGGUCGGGGGUUCAAAUCCUCCUGGGCGCG
rnacentral:tRNA from 1 species